rnacentral:rRNA from 1 species
AGAGGAAGGUCCCCCACAUUGGAACUGAGACACGGUCCAAACUCCUACGGGAGGCAGCAGUGAGGAAUAUUGGUCAAUGGACGAGAGUCUGAACCAGCCAAGUAGCGUGAAGGAUGACUGCCCUAUGGGUUGUAAACUUCUUUUAUAUGGGAAUAAAACGUUCCACGUGUGGAAUUUUGUAUGUACCAUAUGAAUAAGGAUCGGCUAACUCCGUGCCAGCAGCCGCGGUAAUACGGAGGAUCCGAGCGUUAUCCGGAUUUAUUGGGUUUAAAGGGAGCGUAGGUGGAUUGUUAAGUCAGUUGUGAAAGUUUGCGGCUCAACCGUAAAAUUGCAGUUGAAACUGGCAGUCUUGAGUACAGUAGAGGUGGGCGGAAUUCGUGGUGUAGCGGUGAAAUGCUUAGAUAUCACGAAGAACUCCGAUUGCGAAGGCAGCUCACUGGACUGCAACUGACACUGAGGCUCGAAAGUGUGGGUAUCAAACAGGAUUAGAUACCCUGGUAGUCCACACAGUAAACGAUGAAUACUCGCUGUUUGCGAUAUACAGCAAGCGGC